AAAUAUACUUUCUUCAUUUUAUAUAAAUAAUUUAAUUUUUGAGUUAGAAAGCUUAAAUUUACUUAUAGGACGAGAAGACCCUAUAGAACUUUAUUAUUUUUUUUAUAUAAUUUUUAUAGUUUUUAUGAAUUAAAUAUAUAUUUAUAAUAAUUUUGUUGGGGUGACGGAAAAAAUUAUAUAACUUUUUCUAUUAAUGACAUUUAUAUAUGUUUAUUUGAUCCUUUAUUAUGGGUAAUAAGAUUAAGUUACCUUAGGGAUAACAGCGUUAUUUUUUCGGAGAGUUCAUAUCGAUGAAGAAGUUUGCGACCUCGAUGUUGGAUUAAAAUAAGUGACAGAAGUAGAAUGUUGUUUUACUAGGU
rnacentral:rRNA from 1 species